GCCUGGGUGGCUCAGUUGGUUAAGCGUCUGACUUCAGCUCAGGUCAUGAUAUCAUGGUGUGUGGAUUCGAGCCCCGCAUCGGGUG
rnacentral:tRNA from 1 species